UACGUAGGGGGCGAGCGUUGUCCGGAUUUACUGGGCGUAAAGAGCGCGCAGGCGGUCGGAUCAGUCGAAUGUGAAAGCCCCCGGCUCAACUGGGGAGGGUCAUUCGAUACUGUCCGACUCGAAGGCAGGAGAGGGAAGCGGAAUUCCCGGUGUAGUGGCGAAAUGCGUAGAUAUCGGGAGGAACACCAGUGGCGAAGGCGGCUUUCUGGCCUGUUCUUGACGCUGAGGCGCGAAAGCUAGGGGAGCGAACGGG
rnacentral:rRNA from 1 species